AACGAACGCUGGCGGCAUGCCUAACACAUGCAAGUCGAACGAGACCUUCGAGUCUAGUGGCGCACGGGUGCGUAACGCGUGGGAACCUGCCCUUAGGUUCGGAAUAACUCCCCGAAAGGGGUGCUAAUACCGGAUAAUGUCUUCGGACCAAAGAUUUAUCGCCUUUGGAGGGGCCGGCGUUGGAUUAGCUAGUUGGUAGGGUAAAAGCCUACCAAGGCGACGAUCCAUAGCUGGUCUGAGAGGAUGAUCAACCACACUGGGACUGAGACACGGCCCAGACUCCUACGGGAGGCAGCAGUGGGGAAUAUUGGACAAUGGGCUGAAGCCUGAUCCAGCAAUGCCGCGUGAGUGAUGAAGGCCUUAGGGUUGUAAAGCUCUUUUACCCGGGAUGAUAAUGACAGUACCGGGAGAAUAAGCUCCGGCUAACUCCGUG
rnacentral:rRNA from 1 species